CGGAAUAGCAGUGGCCAGAUGGAAUAGCAGUUUAGCAGCAGGAGGGUGCUCCUUCCUGUGACUGCCUCCAAGAGAUCACUGGAUCCUGAACAUGAAGGUAUCUCCCCUUCGGCAGCUGUCAAGCCCUAUGAAAGGUAUUCUAUAUCUGAUAAAAGAAUUCCAAAUCAUACUCUUAGCCAUCAAUACUCCAUGAUCA
rnacentral:lncRNA from 1 species